GACGAACGCUGGCGGCGUGCUUAACACAUGCAAGUCGAACGAUGAAGCUAGAGCUUGCUCUGGUGGAUUAGUGGCGAACGGGUGAGUAACACGUGAGUAACCUGCCCCGAACUCUGGGAUAACUGCUGGAAACGGUAGCUAAUACCGGAUAUGACCAAUGAAGGCAUCUUCUGUUGGUGGAAAGAAUUUCGGUUCGGGAUGGACUCGCGGCCUAGCAGCUUGUUGGGGAGGUAACGGCUCACCAAGGCGACGACGGGUAGCCGGCCUGAGAGGGUGAUCGGCCACACUGGGACUGAGACACGGCCCAGACUCCUACGGGAGGCAGCAGUGGGGAAUAUUGCACAAUGGGCGCAAGCCUGAUGCAGCAACGCCGCGUGAGGGACGACGGCCUUCGGGUUGUAAACCUCUUUUAGUAGGGAAGAAGCGAAAGUGACGGUACCUGCAGAAAAAGCACCGGCUAACUACGUGCCAGCAGCCGCCGUAA
rnacentral:rRNA from 1 species